UCGGGCCCGGGAAAAUUGUUGCCGGGGAAUUAGUCGGGGCGGUGCGUCGUUUAUUAACCGGUUAACCGGAUAAUUAAUCCGCGCGCCGAGCCCGAGAUGCCAUCGAGUCUUCGGGCCGUGCUCGCGGAUUCGAUUAGCAACGCGGAAUUACCUUCUCCGAAACCACUCUCCUUGAAGAAGGAGAAAAUCCAGGGCAGUCGAUUUUUAUGCCCCUAACCGGGACCCAUUACCGCGUAGGAGUCAAUAUUAGUUUGAAAGCGCAAAUGCGAAUAACUCUCACCCCGGUACACUUACCACCUACAUCCUGGGAUUUUAGUUCGUGCCAGUGAUGGAGCUUUUCCGACGCUUAUCGCUUCUGGCAUCGAUGCCAUACUUCGAAGAAUUGGUAAACGAAGUGCGAGAAGAUUGGGAAGCUGCAUUUUAUGAGAGCUAAAUUGUGGACAGAUCCGAGAAAUCGGGAAUGUCGAGCGUACGAAGAAAGCGCAAGUGGGUGAGGUCAGUGUAGAAAGUUCAAUGCCAUAAAAGGACGCAAAGAGAAAGGGGUGAAGGAAAGCUGACGAGCGUAAAACACAAAAGGUGGAAGAGGGACAGACUCGCGGAGAAUGGGGCCAGUAAGGACCAGGAAACGAGAGGAAAGAGGGCGAUAUACUCGAAUGGUGGAAACUCUCUCGAAGCUGUGCCAUCUACGACGCUUCGGGGCAACGUCAAGACAAAGGCGGGACAUCUCCCUUAACUGCGAGCUGCCCCGGGAAAGGAAGAACGCUCGAUGAACCCGAGUUUUGUCAGAUAUUUACUACAGCGAAGCGGAUCUCGGAAAUUCCAUUGCAAACCAUUCCAAUGCGGUGGAAAUAUGUACACGCCAGUAAUGUAUAUAUGUACUUUUUAAACAAGUCAUGCUCGAAUCGCUUCGAACUAUUGUUUUAGAAUGUAGAGUCUGCUACCGAUAAGAGCACAUGCUGAUUAAACAGGUAGCAGGAAUGAUUGCGAUCGAAUGAAAACAAAUUAUUAUUCAUAUUAUAUUUAUUUAGUCAAUGGUCAGAUUGCUAUGAAUACUUAUAAGCAGUAUAUUACAAGUGGUCACAAAUUUUGUCAUCGUAAAGCGUGAGGUGACAGUAGAACCGAUGUUACUCUGAUGCAGCGAGGUAUACACAACAGGCAGAAUAUAGCAUCUGCGGGUAAUCUAUACUAUGAUAUAAAAAAUUCGACGAAAAUUGAAAAUUGCUAUAUAAAGCUAGUUAACGUA